GCCUGGGUGAUCCUGACAUCCUUCCUCCCCAUAGGCACACCUGUCUUCCAUCACACUCAUCACUCAUGGCUGUGGCCCAGAGCCAAACACACCCAACCCACCAGCAUCCAGGCUCAGAGAAAUGCAGGGGGCUUGGCAUUGGAUGCCCAGCAGUGGCAGAGGGGCCGAAAGGACCAAGUGACCCACGCGAGUGAGCAGAGGAAGGAACUGGAGCCUCCCGAGGUGGCUGGAGCACCAGCCCAAUUUCCAGAAAGCUCACAGCACGCCGGGCUCCUUGGGGACCAAGAAGAUGAGGUGUGGAAGCUGCUGCCGGGUAACAGCCUUAGUCAUAAAAGUAACACUGUGAAAAAUCCAUUUUGUGGGUAACAAUGAGAAGUUAAUGCAAAGAGUCAUUGCCCUUCGUUAGUGACAACUUUGGCAGCGACUUUUCCAGGCUCCCGGGAAGCCUGUGGAGAAGGCUGCUUCAGCCCAGAGGCACUUCAUCAUUUAUAUGAAUGAAAAUGAGUGCAAACAGAUUGUCAGGACGUCUGCUCCCAUCACCUCUUUUUUCUUGCAAGGAAUCCCCUCCGUAAUUACAUUUUGCCUGUCAGUUCAUAAAUUUUUCUUAUUACAAACUGGCCAUUAUUGAUUGCUUUUUAAAAGUACUAAAACUGAGCCCAAAGCAGUAGAUCUCUUAGUAAAUUCAAAACAUACUAUCUUGGGUCCCAGUCACUGGUGGGGAGCGAGGGGGAGAGGCUCCGAGCUCAGCGCCGAUGCCGAGCAGAGGCCAGCCGCGCAUACGUUUUGGUUUAAAGAGCUGGCUUUAAGGGCUGCCUG
rnacentral:lncRNA from 1 species